UGGUAGAGAUAGAAGGUAAAACACUCCUAAUUUAUUUGAUUCCCAAUACCAUACCGAGCAGAAUAUGAAGAGCAAAUACACUCACCCCUUUGAGUAAUCAGAUAAUUUACUCUUUUAAAUUCGAGGACGAAUUUUAUAUAAGGGGGGGAGGAUGUAAUAACCCCAAAAUAUUUUUUUUAUAUAAAAAAAGAUAGAAUAGUUCUUUAAAAUUGAUAUGAGGGGUAAAAUUGGAAGGAAUGAAAAGAUAAUGGCAUAGUUGUAGAUGCGUUGAAGUGGUAAGGGUAAAAUUGGAAAGGAAUCAAAAGUUAAUGGCAUAACAGUAGAUAUGUUGAAGUGUUAGGGGCAAAAUGAGAAUUUAAUAAUAUUAAAAAAAGGGUGAAUAGUAUCUUGAUGUGAUUUAAUUGGAGGGUUUGAGCUGGCUCACGGGAGUGAAACAGAGAGGAGAGGGGGAGGGUUCUCAGACGGCAACAGAGAGGAAGAAAAAGAAGGAGAGGAAAGGAAAGGAAGAAAGGAAGAGGAAGAAGAAGAAGAAAAAGAAAAGGAAGGAGAUCCCGGUUGCGCUGCCAGCUGAAGGAAAAAGUGUAGAUCUCCUUCCCCUCUACGCAAGGACCUCGAUUUCCAAAAAGAAAAAGGUAAAUAUCCAUCAUUAUCUAGUCUUUUGAUGAUAUUAGGCUAUACAAAGGGUGGAUGUAGUCUAGAGGGGUCGGAUAAGGGUUGUAGAGGUGGUUAAAAGAGGAAGAAUCGGAUUUCGACAAAUUUUUCCGGCACUACGGAAAAACUGUGUCGAAGUUCCAACUUCGGCGAAUUAUUUCGGGGGUCAAACGGCCUCCGAUAGUG
rnacentral:lncRNA from 1 species